AGUGAACGCUGGCGGUAGGCCUAACACAUGCAAGUCGGACGGCAGCACAGUAAGAGCUUGCUCUUACGGGUGGCGAGUGGCGGACGGGUGAGGAAUACAUCGGAAUCUACUUUUUCGUGGGGGAUAACGUAGGGAAACUUACGCUAAUACCGCAUACGACCUACGGGUGAAAGCAGGGGAUCUUCGGACCUUGCGCGAUUGAAUGAGCCGAUGUCGGAUUAGCUAGUUGGCGGGGUAAAGGCCCACCAAGGCGACGAUCCGUAGCUGGUCUGAGAGGAUGAUCAGCCCCACUGGAACUGAGACACGGUCCAGACUCCUACGGGAGGCAGCAGUGGGGACUAUUGGACAAUGGGCGCAAGCCUGAUCCAGCCAUACCGCGUGGGUGAAGAAGGCCUUCGGGUUGUAAAGCCCUUUUGUUGGGAAAGAAAAGCAGCAGGUUAAUACCCCGCUGUUCUGACGGUACCCAAAGAAUAAGCACCGGCUAACUUCGU
rnacentral:rRNA from 1 species